CCCAUUGGAGACGAAGAAUUGGUCUCCUACAUCCUGGCCGGCCUUGACAUCGAAUACAACCCCUUGGUAUUGGCCAUUGUUGCACGAGUCGAGCCAAUCACCGUGGGGGAGCUAUUCUCUCAGCUUUGAUU
rnacentral:snoRNA from 1 species